GACGAACGCUGGCGGCGUGCUUAACACAUGCAAGUCGAACGGAAAGGCCCUGCUUUUGUGGGGUGCUCGAGUGGCGAACGGGUGAGUAACACGUGAGUAACCUGCCCUUGACUUUGGGAUAACUUCAGGAAACUGGGGCUAAUACCGGAUAGGAGCUCCUGCUGCAUGGUGGGGGUUGGAAAGUUUCGGCGGUUGGGGAUGGACUCGCGGCUUAUCAGCUUGUUGGUGGGGUAGUGGCUUACCAAGGCUUUGACGGGUAGCCGGCCUGAGAGGGUGGCCGGCCAAGUUGGGACUGAGAUACGGCACAGACUCAUACGGGAGGCAGCGGUGGAGAAGAUUGCACAAUGGGAGGAGGCCUGAUGCGGCGACGCCGCGUGCGGGAUGACGGCAUUCGGGUAGUAAACCGCUUUCGCCUGUGACGAAGCGUGAGUGACGGUAAUGGGUAAAGAAGCACCGGCUAACUACGUG
rnacentral:rRNA from 1 species